CUCAAGAUGGCUGUGCCUGUCAGCUGCAUGGAGCUUCGUUCAAGUAUUUUCUGAGCCUGAUGGAUUUACAGUGAUCUUCAGUGGUCUGGGGAAUAACGCUGGUGGAACCAUGCACUGGAAUGACACACGCCCGGCACAUUUCAGGAUACUAAAAGUGGUUUUAAGGGAGGCUGUGGCUGAAUGCCUCAUGGAUUCUUACAGCUUGGAUGUCCAUGGGGGACGAAGGACUGCAGCUGGCUGAGAGGGUUGAGAUCUCUGUUUACUUAGAUCUCUGCCAACUUCCUUUGGGUCUCCCUAUGGAAUGUAAGACCCCGACUCUUCCUGGUGAAGCAUCUGAUGCACGUUCCAUCCGGCGCUCAGCUGGGCUUGAGAAUCCUGUUACACCUGGGAUUUAGGCACUUUCAAUCUGAAAAAAUACAUAUCCUUUCAGCACUCUGGACGGACUUGAGAACUGUCCUUACGUGACCUAAAGCUGGAGUAUUUUGAGAUUGGAGAAUUAAGAAGGACAGAAUAACGGGCUCCCAGAUUCACAAGCCCCACCAAGAGGAUCACCCCAGGAACGCUUGGAGGCUGAGGAGUUCACUGAGGCUACUGCAUCUUGAGACUCAGGAUGAAGACCCAGCUUGGGGCUGUCAAAGGUUUUUUGCAUGUCUGACACCCAUGACUCCACCUGGACCUUAUGGCUCCACCCAGAAGCAAUUCAGCCCAACAGGAGGACAGCUUCAACCCAUUACGAUUUCAUCUCUGCCCCAACCACUCAGCAGCAAGCACCUGUUACCUGUCCACCCCCACCCCUUCCCCCAAACUGCCUUUGAAAAAUCCCUAACCUAUGAGCUUUGAAUAAGAUGAGUACGAACUUCAUCGCCCACGUGGCGUGGCCGGCCUCGUGUCUAUUAAAUUCUUUUUCUACUA
rnacentral:lncRNA from 1 species